rnacentral:rRNA from 1 species
CCCUUAGAUGUUCUGGGCCGCACGCGCGCUACACUGAUGCAUUCAACGAGUUUCUUCCUGGUCCGAGAGGAAUGGGUAACCUUUUGAAAGUGCAUCGUGAUAGGGAUAGACUAUUGCAAUUAUUGGUCUUCAACGAGGAAUUCCUAGUAGACGUAGUUCAUCAGACUGCAUCGAUUACGUCCCUGCCCUUUGUACACACCGCCCGUCGCUCCUAACGAUUGAAUGCUCAGGUGAGCCAUUCGGACUUUCAUCAUGCUGGUUUCCAGUUUUGAUGAAGGAAAGUCUUGCGAACCUUAUCAUUUAGAGGAAGGAGAAGUCGUAACA